CCUUCUUUCUCUUGCGGCUCAGGAGGGGGCGUCACCCUGAGGAGGAAGGACCUGAAAAGAGAUGAGCGGUUCAGCGUUGCCCGGAACUCGACAGACAGCCACGGAGCAGUGCCGUGCAGGUGACCCAGCCAGUGCAGCUGACCAACAGAGAUCCCAGGCCCACACGGACUCUUCUCACCGAGGCCGUGGCCACUGAGCCAACAAGAUUCCACAGACUCCUACCCCAGGCUCCCCCUUGCUGCAUGCGUCUGCCUUCCAGACCUCCCUGCUAACUCCGUCGCAUCUCCACCCACACCAGGGCUGGCUACUGACCUUCCUGCCAUCUGUCAGGUCCCUUCUUUGGACCCUUGUCUUUCCAGCUCUUCUCACAAUCGGUUCAAGAACACGAAGUAAGUGAUUUUCAAUGGGCUGUACAGACCAGGGUCCUGUAUCAGAAUCCCUGACCAGCUGCUACACACCACGUGCAAAACCUGGAGCAAGUACUGUCAGGUCCCUUGACCCACAGGAUCCCCACCCCGGUGCCCUCCCAGAGGCUGGGUGUGCUGCCUGGCCAGGUCCGAGCUGGCAGGCAUGGAAGUCCUUUGCUGAAAGAUAAACAAGUAUCUGGGAAAGCCCCAUCACAAGAACGUUUUAA